UUUCAACCAACACCAUCUUAUUGUAUUGGUAUCGGUCUAUUAUUGUCACAUGUACUGAGACAGAGUAAAAAGCUUUUGUUUGCAUGUCGUCAAGACAGAUCAUUCUACACACAAGUACAUCAAGUAAUUUGGAUACUUAAAGGUUUCAUCCUGUGUACAGAAGUUGGAACCUGGAAUAAUGCAAUGAUGCAGAACUUGCAGAUGCAAGAGAGACUGCAGAUGCUGGAAAUCUGGAGCAACACACACAAAAUGCUGGAGGAACUCAAAUGGUCAGGCCACAUCUGUGGAGGGAAAUGAACAGUCGACAUUUUGAGCUGAGACUCUUCAACAGGACUCUGAACAUGUGUGGAACAUGAGAUGUGAGCUUUUCAGUUCAUACACCAACCAUAGGAAAAUGUUUUUCAGAGCAAUGUUGACAUUGUACAGGCACAGACCUUGCACCUUAUUGCACUGCACUUUCUCUGUAGCUGUGACACUUUACUCUGUACUGUUACUGUUUUUACCUGUACUACAUCAAUGCACUCUGUACUAACUCAAUGUAACUGCACUGUGUAAUGAAUUGACCUGUACGAUUGGUUUGUAAGACAAGCUUUUCACUGUA